CCUACGGGAGGCAGCAGUGGGGAAUUUUCCGCAAUGGGCGAAAGCCUGACGGAGCAACGCCGCGUGAGGGAUGAAGGCCUCUGGGCUGUAAACCUCUUUUAUCAAGGAAGAAGAUCUGACGGUACUUGAUGAAUAAGCCACGGCUAAUUCCGUGCCAGCAGCCGCGGUAAUACGGGAGUGGCAAGCGUUAUCCGGAAUUAUUGGGCGUAAAGCGUCCGCAGGCGGUCUUGUAAGUCUGUCGUUAAAGCGUGGAGCUUAACUCCAUUUCGGCGGUGGAAACUACAAGACUAGAGUGUGGUAGGGGCAGAGGGAAUUCCCGGUGUAGCGGUGAAAUGCGUAGAUAUCGGGAAGAACACCAGUGGCGAAGGCGCUCUGCUGGGCCAUAACUGACGCUCAUGGACGAAAGCUAGGGGAGCGAAAGGGAUUAGAUACCCCUGUAGUCCUAGCCGUAAACGAUGAACACUAGGUGUCGGGGGAAUCGACCCCCUCGGUGUCGUAGCUAACGCGUUAAGUGUUCCGCCUGGGGAGUACGCACGCAAGUGUGAAACUCAAAGGAAUUGACGGNNGAGAGNGCGAGCGACACGAGGGAGUAG
rnacentral:rRNA from 1 species